rnacentral:rRNA from 1 species
AUACGGAGGGUGCGAGCGUUAAUCGGAAUUACUGGGCGUAAAGGGUGCGUAGGCGGCUUGAUAAGUCGGAUGUGAAAGCCCCGGGCUUAACCUGGGAAUUGCAUUCGAUACUGUCAGGCUAGAGUAUGUCAGAGGUUGGCGGAAUUCCUGGUGUAGCGGUGAAAUGCGCAGAUAUCAGGAGGAACACCAGUGGCGAAGGCGGCUAACUGGGACAAUACUGACGCUGAGGCACGAAAGCGUGAGGAGCAAACAGAAUUAGAUACCCCAGUAGUCC